UGGGGAAUCUUGCGCAAUGGGGGCAACCCUGACGCAGCAACGCCGCGUGAGUGAAGAAGGCCUUUGGGUUGUAAAGCUCUUUCGGUAGAGAAGAAGGGUGAGUAAGUUAAUACCUUAUUCAUCUGACGGUAUCUGCAUAAGAAGCACCGGCUAAUUUCGUGCCAGCAGCCGCGGUAAUACGAAAGGUGCAAGCGUUGUUCGGAAUGACUGGGCGUAAAGAGCACGUAGGUGGGUUUUUAAGUCGAUUGUGAAAUCCCGGAGCUCAACUUCGGACUUGCAAUCGAAACUGGAAAUCUUGAAUACCCUAGGGGUUGGUGGAAUUGCACAUGUAGCAGUGAAAUGCGUAGAUAUGUGCAGGAACACCGGAGGCGAAGGCGGCCAACUGGAGGUGUAUUGACGCUGAGGUGCGAAAGCGCGGGGAGCAAACAGG
rnacentral:rRNA from 1 species